CAAAACGACUCUCGACAACGGAUAUCUCGGCUCUCGCAUCGAUGAAUUGCAGAAUCCCGUGAAUCAUCGAGUCUUUGAACGCAAGUUGCGCCCGAAGCCUUCUGGCUGAGGACGUCUGCCUGGGCGUCACG
rnacentral:rRNA from 2 species